rnacentral:rRNA from 1 species
UACGUAGGGUGCAAGCGUUGUCCGGAAUUAUUGGGCGUAAAGAGCUCGUAGGCGGUCUGUCGCGUCGGCUGUGAAAACUCGGGGCUCAACUCCGAGCUUGCAGUCGAUACGGGCAGGCUAGAGUUCGGCAGGGGGAGACUGGAAUUCCUGGUGUAGCGGUGAAAUGCGCAGAUAUCAGGAGGAACACCGGUGGCGAAGGCGGCUCUCUGGGACGGUACUGACGCUGAGACGCGAAAGCGUGGGGAGCGAACAGG